GAUGAACGCUGGCGGCGUGCUUAACACAUGCAAGUCGAACGGUGAAAGAGAGCUUGCUCUCUGGAUCAGUGGCGAACGGGUGAGUAACACGUGAGCAAUCUGCCCCUGACUCUGGGAUAAGCGCUGGAAACGGCGUCUAAUACCGGAUACGAGCUGCGAAGGCAUCUUCAGCAGCUGGAAAGCACUUCGGUCAGGGAUGAGCUCGCGGCCUAUCAGCUAGUUGGUGAGGUAAUGGCUCACCAAGGCGUCGACGGGUAGCCGGCCUGAGAGGGUGACCGGCCACACUGGGACUGAGACACGGCCCAGACUCCUACGGGAGGCAGCAGUGGGGAAUAUUGCACAAUGGGCGCAAGCCUGAUGCAGCAACGCCGCGUGAGGGACGACGGCCUUCGGGUUGUAAACCUCUUUUAGCAGGGAAGAAGCGAAAGUGACGGUACCUGCAGAAAAAGCACCGGCUAACUACGUGCCAGCCGCCGCGGUAAAAC
rnacentral:rRNA from 1 species